rnacentral:lncRNA from 1 species
ACGCAAAGAGAAAAACUAAAUGAACGUGGAACCAUGCGGUGGUUUUGCAUCCUGGCACUGUUCUCCCUGUCAGUUCUUCAGACUGAGGCCUCAGGGCACGGUGAGAAACCUGGCCACACGCAGCCUCCCCGAGAGGUGCAAGAACCCUUUGCCAACUCCACGUGGCGGGAAAGCGAGACCAGAACCACGUGGGCAUCAGAGGCCGCCAGCAGCGCCAGGGAGAGGGUCANCACGACCACCCCCAGCCCCCUACAGAACAGCAGCAGCACGCAGGCCGGUCCUCCUGCGCUUGGCGAAGACGUCUCCGCAGCGGUUUAUGCAAAAUAUCUGGUGCCUCCUCUGAUAGUGCUCGUGCUGCUCCUAAGCCUGCUCUUUAUGUACAGACGGAAGAGAGGACGAGAAGACCACAGCAGCACUGCCUCCAUCAACGGCUCUUCAGGUACGAGAUCCCCUCAGAGCUGGAGCGCCACUGGCAGCGGCUGUGUGACUGCGAUCCGUGCAUGGGUGGCGUCGCAAACGCAGCUCAACGCUCACGGCAGCCGUCUUGUGAUGCGCCAUGUGCCGGGCNGAGUGCCAGUCACAGAGAUCUUCUGGACUGAGGGCCGCCCUGGUGGCGGGCAACUGCUAUGCCAAGGCCACUUGUUGGCAUGGUUGUGGCCACAGCGCUCAGCCCUUCCUGGCCUGUGCAUGCGCCCAGCAGUCCCCGCAAGGCCGCGAGCUCCCCAUGGCAGCCAUUGCCACCAGUCGCUCCCUCUUCCUCCUGANAGACGGGGUGGGGAGGAAAGCGGAGGACUGGGGUGCUUUUUCCUUCCUUAA